CGCCACCCAGGCGCCCCUCCUAUGCUAUAUUUUAAAGCAAAGAUUAUGAUGCUUGUUCUACUAUAACGAAGCCCUCUGUCCCUGACCCAGGAGCCCCGAGCCACCUGGCAGUGUCCAUGACUCUGAAGGAUCGACGGGCCAAUCCCAGACCGCUCACAGUCUGACAAGACCCAGGCCCGAUACCUCGAUGGGUUUCAUGAGAGCUGUGGUGUCUGAGGAGAGCAGUGGAAGGGAGCUGGUGAGAAGGCAGACAGAUUCAGGAGGUCUGCAAGCGCCCAGGGGAAGCCGAUGCUGUUGGCCUUGGACACGCUUGAGCAGGGUCCUGGGGACGGACGCACUGGACACAAGGCUGGCAUUUACCCCUGUGCCAGGAGGAUGGGACGGAAACUUCCUUAGGCCUGCCACCUGCACCACCCUGCCUCAUAUCGAGUCCCAUUGCCCUGUCCCCACCCGAACAGGCACAGUCUCAAUUCCCAGCUCCAGGGGACCGUUGAGAGAAAGAAAACUCCAGGCAGAAAUAACCACAUUUGCUUCUGGCCUGUUUGUUCAUUUAUCUGCUCUUCUGGAAACUAAGAAGCCCUUAUUUUUAGCACCUCCCAUGCUGAAGCGUGUUUUUGUUUUUUUUUUUUUUCCUUCAAGCUCUCUUAAAAAGUUGACACUUCCCAGCCUAUAAACUGCAAAGUCAUGUCAAGGUUCAACAGAAAGACACAGUGGGGGAAGAGGCCUCCUGUCCCACAGCCCCAGGAAACACUCACAGGAAGAAAGAGUGUCCCUGUAAGCAGGCCCCCCAGCGAAAGGCCCCGCUCCUUCAACCUUGGCUCACCUUAUGGAGUAGGGGGCGGGUGUUCUCUCUGGAGUCUCCUCCCUGCGUUGACCUCUUGACCAAGUGAAACUAACCACAUGGUAGUUUAUAAGCCUCUCACCGGAAAAAUGUGGGGUGUGUGAGCCAAGCGUGAACCCCCGUUUUAAAAACAUUUGCAAGGGGAUACUUGUGGCAACUGAGGUUCGAGGCUCGAGAUGUUUCUAGCUCUGACUCACCGUGAGAACUUGGGCAAGUCUGAAUUCUCUGGGUCUCGAUUUCUCUGUGAGGGACGGGGGAAUAAUGAUUGUAGACCCCUCUCCCCAGUUACACCCCUAGAACUCAAAAGAGCUGUUGCCCGCUCUACGUGACUAAUUUUUAGCUCAAACAUCCGUGACAUCUCUUAAUGUCCGUACACAAGGAACCAUGAUUCUAGCAGCCGCCUCAAAAACAGACCAGGGAGUCGUAAUAAUUAAUAAUGCAGUGCUAGGACAUAGAUUUCCAGGGCGGUAAUCUUCUUCGUGCCUCUGUGAGGACAGGGGGUGGCUGGUAUGAGUGAGAACGUCACCAUCAUCAUCAUCAUCAUCAUCAUCACCGUUGAUCUUUGCAAUCAGGAGGUGCAUUCUUCCCUAGAGCCCUCAAGACACUGUGGCCUGGACUUCCUGUCCCCAGAGCUACUUCUGUUAUGGGAAGUCCCGCCCCCAACACGUGGCACUUGGAAAUUAACACAGAGGGGAGCCCGGGCCCGGACCGAGAAGGCCCCAAAGGGAGCUCCGGAGGCGGCCAGAACACCCCGGGGCUGCAGGCUGGGCACCCGGAGAAGACUCAGGUCCCUCUGGUGCCAUCUGACCCACGGUGGGAAGCAGUUGGGGCGGCCGCCAGGCCAGCGCGCCCCCAGUAUCUAUGUCAGUCCCGGCCUGUCCCAAGCAGCCUGGCUGUCCACCAGGCUGUCGCCAAACUGACGGAAGACCCAGAUGAGGACGGGCUCUGUGGAAUGUGUUCUCUGAGCGCUCGCUGCCCGAGAGGCUGCCUGACUGAGUUCUUUGGACGGGAAAUUGCAGAGACGAGGCUCCGUGUCCGUGCCUCUCAUCCUUCUGCACCAUACAUGCGCCCUUUUUUCUCCUUUCUUCAUUUCCCCAUUUCUCUAAGCUCUUGUGAGCGCUCUGAUUGCCAACCCAAAUCUUGCCUGCCCGUCCAUCAGUAGGUCCCAGCCCCCGUCCUCACUGGCCACAUGACCACAUCCUCAUUGGCCACGUGACGCCUGGUUACAGGGACACUUCACCUUCUCCUUCUACCAAGUUCUAACGACAUGGGAGCGCCUUCCUCCUCUCGGUGAAGGGGGCGGGUCUCCAGGGCACAGGAGGCUCUUCUCGGAGCGCCCAGUGUAGUCAGGCUCAGGAAAGGACUCACAGUUUCAGGAAUCCACGGGGCGUCAAGGUUACUUGCAAAGACCAGGGGCCGGCCAGCAAACAGCCUGCGAGCCAAGAAUGGCUAUGUUUUUAAAUAGUUGAGUAAAAAAAAUAAAAGAAGACUAUUUUGUGACACGUGAAAAUUACAUGAAAUUCGAAGUUCGGCGUCCGCAAAGUCUUACCGGAACACGGCCACACUUAACUCGCUUCCACAUUCUCUGUGGCUGCUUUGCCCUUCGGCCACAGAGCUGAGUAGCUGUGACAGGCGGCACAACCCGCGGAGCCUAACUUGUGUACCAGCUGAUGUUCCUGAGAAAGGUUGCUGGCCCGUGGGCACAGACUCUGGGGCCAGAUUGUCUAACUUCAAAUCCUAGAUCCGCUGCUUACUGGCUGUGUGACGGGGGGGGGCAAGUUCCGUCUCCCUCUCUGCCUCUGUGUCCACAUCCCUCAAAUGGGUGCAACAGUCCUUAUUUCAAAAUAUCAUUGUACGGAUUAGAGGAACUAUCAUUUCUCAGGUCUUAGAACCGUGCCCGGCACUUAGGAGCACUGUGGAUAGGGGCCUGGGUGGCUCAGUGGCUGAGUGUCUGACUUCGGCUCAGGUCCUGAUCUCAUGGUUUGUGGGUUCCAGCCCUGCAUCGGGCUCUGUGCUAACAGCACAGAUUUUUAAAAAAUUAAAAAAAAAAAAAAUAGAAGUACUGUGAAUGGGUUAAACUAUUUUCAGAUCCUUACACAUCACCGUCCUACACCAGAGUGAAACGUAUAAGAAUGCUUAAGCUUUCCUUCUACUUGACACAGAAGGGUUCUUUAAACAUAUCGUUUUCUUUGCUUUUCAUCAUUGCCCCGUGUGCAAACAGAUCCAGGAAACCUUAGCUCGGGCUUCUCAAAUCCCAGAUGGGUUCUAAUUUGUUAUGUCGGAGGAAAAAAGUCUGUCUUCCCUAGCAGGGGCACGGGGCUGUUUUGUGAGUCACAGACGUCACCUCCUUACUCUUCAGCGUUAGAAGACGUUCUGGGCCAGCUCGACAAACCCUGCCUGUAAAGCGAAAGCAGAAUGAGGAAGCAUGGACCUCCCACAAGGACAGGGAUGUUCUCAUUCCUGAACCGUGGUGGCUGGGGUGACGCACGGAGGAGUCUGGGAGAGCUGGCACGGGACGGGGGACAUCCGCAGUAUCCCCACCCCCCCACCUCCCACUUCUUCCACGGGACCGAGUGCUGGUCGAGCUCCUGGCUGCUCCGCGGGAGAUUCCUCCCCUGUCCGACCUCCUGUGCCGUUUGUCGUGGUCAUGUGACCAGACGCAUCAGCGCUGGAAUGUGGGUGGGGGCUACAGGCACCACGACUGCCUCUGGGCCUUAAGUCAUGGAGCCCGUGCCCCGCCCUGCCCUCCACCUGCCUGUGAACUGCAACCACACAGAUGACAGCGAUACCCUAAGCGACGGCAAAACAGCAAGGUGACAGAACCUGGGUCCCUGAGUGAGCACGUGCAGCAGAGAAACCUGUCCCCUUGGACCCAUCGUGGAAGGACUCUCAGAGAGAGUACAUGUUUGUUAAGUCACCAUUCCGGGAGCUAGAACCUAGAACCUAGAACCUAGAAGACGGGGUUAAUUAUACUUCUGCACCCACCUCGGGACGUUCCAGUGAGAAUGUACUUUGACCAUCAAGGAGACCUAAUUCUGCAUAAGACUCAGAAUUUUCCCGAGAGUCUGACCCCUCGUCUUCUUUAGCCGCCAAGAUAAAGAGCCUCAGGCUUACGUGUGUUUUCAAGGAGCUUUGGAAAUGUUUAAGACUUGAAAAAAAUUAGAGGCCUCAAAGUAUGGAAAUAGCAAUAGGAAACUCAAAUGAUUACUUCACAUACUCCCCCAUUAAUUGUGAUAUUGAGGACACAUGAAAGUCUCACUACAUCUGCAAAACAUUUGUAAAGCCAAGUGUUCCCAUGUUACAAGAACUGGUAGGUAUGCCAGCGAUUGCCAGGACAUAACAGCGAAUCGUUAAGUUAAAUGAGCAACUUGUGGCUAAAAUCAUUUUCAGAGCAAAAUCACGGCCCCGCCCAACCGCCACAGAGCUCAUCGUGCCAGGUGAUUGCACACUUCCAGAGCUGUCUCUACGUCCCCCUUUCUCUUGCUUACUCAUCACAAACACCAAUCAACCAAAACCUCUUUCUCUAAACAUGAAAAAUACGGAAGCCGACGGAGUUGGGUGGAACGCCAAAUCAUUCUGGUUGCACGCAGGGACCAGGGCUUUGGAUGUGCAUUUCAGCAGGACAGACGGUUCCUGAGUCAUAAGGUCAAAGUCGCCAUCAGCUGAUGUGCAUCCGAUUGGGCUUUUCCAAUCGGACUUUCCCCAAACCCACUCCCCUGCAAGGAAGGGAAAGCAGGUAUUUUCCAAACCCACACCUUACAAAUGUCAGGGAUUUUUUUUUUUUUUUAAUGCUUGGUCUCCCUCA